rnacentral:rRNA from 1 species
GAUGAACGCUGACAGAAUGCUUAACACAUGCAAGUCAACUUGAACUUCGGUUUGGGUGGCGGACGGGUGAGUAACGCGUAAAGAACUUGCCUCACAGCUAGGGACAACAUUUGGAAACGAAUGCUAAUACCUGAUAUUAUGAUUAUAUGGCAUCGUAUAAUUAUGAAAGCUAUAUGCGCUGUGAGAGAGCUUUGCGUCCCAUUAGCUAGUUGGAGAGGUAACAGCUCACCAAGGUGAUGAUGGGUAGCCGGCCUGAGAGGGUGAUCGGCCACAAGGGGACUGAGACACGGCCCUUACUCCUACGGGAGGCAGCAGUGGGGAAUAUUGGACAAUGGACCGAGAGUCUGAUCCAGCAAUUCUGUGUGCACGAUGAAGUUUUUCGGAAUGUAAAGUGCUUUCAGUUGGGAAGAAAAAAUGACGGUACCAACAGAAGAAGUGACGGCUAAAUACGUG